UACGGGGGGAGCAAGCGUUGUUCGGAUUUACUGGGCGUAAAGGGCGCGUAGGCGGCCACUGCAAGUCGGUUGUGAAAUCUCCGGGCUUAACCCGGAAAGGUCAAUCGAUACUGCAGGGCUAGAGUGCAGAAGGGGCAACUGGAAUUCUCGGUGUAGCGGUGAAAUGCGUAGAUAUCGAGAGGAACACCUGCGGCGAAGGCGGGUUGCUGGGCUGACACUGACACUGAGAGACGAAAGCUAGGGGAGCAAAUGGG
rnacentral:rRNA from 1 species